ensembl:ncRNA W09D6.9 ncRNA
ACUGUACAGUUAAUGUAGUGAAGUAUUACUAUAUGGUUACUGUAGCAUAUGGGUACUGUAGUGUAGGUUCUCAGUGGUGCAUGGUUACUGUAGCGUAACUGUAGUGUAAGGUUACUGUAGAGUUAAUGCAGUGUAGGGUUACUAGCACUA